CUUCUGCUGAGUUGGUGUCAACAGUAUCUGCUCCCCACAAUUUUCAGGGAAGACCCAGGGAAGGCAUUGCUUCCCCUUGCUUCAGGUCUUUAGGGUUUUUGCCAUCUUGUUUUCUUGAUCGAGACAGAAGGAUGGUAUCAAGAUGAAUGUCUUUUUGGAUAACAGCCUGGAUGUGGGUUCCUGUUGAUUCAGCCAAUGCCACUUUGACCUCAUCUACACCGGGAAACUUGACAUGUCUUUAUAAGUUUGGACUUGGACCCUCAAGCUCAUUUCCUGGAGGCUGCCAAAAAUAAACAGCUUAAUAGAUCUUGUACCUAAGGAUCGCAAAAAGAAUUAGCCAAGGAAAUCCCUGGCCCACUGUCAUUAACAUUUAAUGAAUCUUGGAAUGGUGGGGAAAUUGCUGAAGAAUGGAAGAGUGCUAAAUGUUAUUCCAGUAUUCAAAGAUGACAAGGCAGAUGACCCCAGUAAUUAUAGGCCAAUUAGUUUGACAUAGAUUCCAGGCAAAGU